rnacentral:rRNA from 1 species
CUUUUUCAGGGCGCUAGUGGUGGAAAGAGGUGGGUCAAAGCAGUGCAAAAGGAAUGGAAAAUACUGGAGAACAACAACUUGCCAGACACCAUAUAUAUGCGCGUGUUCGAGGAUCGCAUGGACCUGCUCAGGGCCGUGAUAGUUGGUGCGAGCGGGACACCCUACCACGACGGGCUCUUCUUCUUCGACCUGCACCUGCCACCAUCCUAUCCUGAUGUGCCUCCGAUGGUGUACUACCACUCAUUCGGUCUCCGCCUCAACCCCAACCUCUAAAACUCUGGCACAGUGUGCCUCAGCCUUCUCAACACCUUUGGUGGAGAGGAAUCUGAAGUCUGGUCACCAGCUACAUCCAGUCUCCUGCAGGUCGUCGUCUCUAUCCAGGGUCUAAUACUCAACGACCAACCAUACUACAAUGAGGUCGGUUAUCAGACCCUAGUCGACAAGCCAGAGGGAUGCCGCAACGCAUUGCCAUACAAUGAAAAUGCUUACUUGCUCACCCUUCGGACCAUGCUCCACCUGUUGCGACGACCGCCAAGUGGAUUUGAGGGUUUCGUCAAGGAUCACUUCUGCCGCCGGGGGAGGUUCAUUCUUCGAGCAUGUGAGGCAUACCUAAGAGGGUGCGUAGUUGGCAUGCUCGAUGGUGAGGCAUGCGCCAUCCAAGGAAGUAAGGAGGAUAGAUCAUGCUCGGCCGGGUUAAGAAUGGCGCUUUCCAACGUGUUGCCGAAGCUCGUGGCAGCAUUAGCAGAGAUUGGCGCCGAGGGGUGUGAGUGUGACCAGUUCCACGAGCUGCAUGACCCGCUUAUCGGCGGCGAUGGAGUGCAACGCGCUCACUAA